rnacentral:rRNA from 1 species
GACGAACGCUGGCGGCGUGCUUAACACAUGCAAGUCGAACGGUAAGGCCCUUCGGGGUACACGAGUGGCGAACGGGUGAGUAUCACGUGGGUGAUCUGCCCUGCACUUCGGGAUAAGCCUGGGAAACUGGGUCUAAUACCGGAUAGGACCACUGCCUGCAUGGGUGGGGGUGGAAAGCUUUUGCGGUGUGGGAUGGGCCCGCGGCCUAGCAGCUUGUUGGUGGGGUGAUGGCCUACCAAGGCGAGGACGGGUAGCCGGCCUGGGAGGUUGACCGGCCACACUGGGACUGAGAGACGGCCCAGACUCCUACGGGAGGCAGCAGUGGGGAAUAUUGCACAAUGGGCGCAAGCCUGAUGCAGCGACGCCGCGUGAGGGAUGACGGCCUUCGGGUUGUAAACCUCUUUCAGCACCGACGAAGCGCAAGUGACGGUAGGUGCAGAAGAAGGACCGGCCAACUACGUGCCAGCCGCCGCAGUAA